ensembl:lncRNA
UGGCUUUAUUUUUUUAUGCCGUUCUUCAGCUGUCUUUCCCUUAUCACCCGCCCCACACUUGCACGUGUCUCCACCUGGCGACCCAGCCGUCUCAAGCAGCCCGCCUCUGCACUCACUAGGAGAGUCCCCGGCGCGCGCAGGCCCCACCCUCUUCGCCUCAGGGCUUCGUCUUGCUUCAGAGCCGAAGGGGGCGCGCGUGAAGUCUCAUGGGAGUUGUAGUUUUUCCCGGCUCCCCGAGUUCUGUACACCCGUUGCCUUCCCUUCCCUCAGAGAAAGCACCAGCCCUUGGCUGUUGUUCCCUGACGCUUCUUAUGUUGUGCAGUGCUGGUCUCCUGCUUUAAGGCGACAUAGAAGAGAAGCUGACAAGUGUCAUUCUCCUGCUGAUGACAGAAACAGCGACCAGCCUCUCAGGGACUCGGUAGCAGCCACUUUUAUCCAAGCUCUUUUCCCUAGCGGAGGUCACACAAUGUGUGUCACACAAUGAACACGUUCAGAUGAGCUCCCUCACACACUUGCAAAGAUCUACUGCAGUAUUUCCAAGGGAAACUCUCCAAGAUGGAACCUAAGAACGCCUGGCAGGACGGCGGGGAGCUUUUCCACCUUUGAGCUAAACCCGCUAAGGUUAGCCAUCAGAUUCCCAGUCUAACAGCCCACUCAUCUCCAAGGGACGUGCUGCGACUGGACCCCUGGCUGCCCCUCAGUGUCUGCCUCUCAGUGAAGGUGCUUCAAACCACCCACUUCAAGAGUCAUCAAGAUAUUUGGAAGACAAGCAACGAAUGUGUGUCUUUACUGGAGCACCAUCCAACACAGAAGUGCAGACUCUCCUAAUUCUUCCUAGUCUAGAAGCCGUGUAGACAGCGAAGACUUAAGUACAGUGGAGGGAAGGGCCAGCUGAAGACAUCUUUGACUCUGGGCCCUGGGCUAAUUUACUUUACGCUUCAGGAUCAUUACCUGCCAAACAGGGAUCUUGGUCCUGCAAAUCUCAUGGGGUUCUAAGAAGCAAACAAAGGUGUGGCUGGCAAAGCACCCCAAAGUCUUCUGUCUUGGGGUUAUCAUUGCUGCGAUGGAACACCUUGACCAAAGCGACUUGGGGAAGAGAGGAUUUAUUCGGCUUGUGUCCACGUCACUGUUCAUCACUGAAAGAAGUCAGGACAGGAGCUCAAACAGGACAGGAACCUGGAGGCAGGAGCUGAUGCAGAGAUGAUGGAUGGGUGCUGCUUAUUGGAUUGCGCCUCGUGGCUUGCCUGGCCUGCUUUCUUAUAGAACCCAGGACCACGAGCCUAGGCAUGGCACCAACCACAAUGGGCUGGGCCAUCCCUCAUUAAUCACCAAUUAAGAACAGGGACAGGCUUGCCUACAGCCUGAACUUAUAGACACAUCUUCUCAGCUGAAGAUCCCUACUGUGAGAUGACUCUAGUUUGUGUCAAAUUGACAUAAAACUAGCCAGCAUAAUUAUAGAGGAAUUAUUAUGGGUUUUCCCACCAGAUCUGCAGCUUCUGGGAGGAGGGGCAGUGCCUUAGAAUUUUUCAGUAUUUGUAAAACCCACACGAGGCAACUAAAAUCCAAAGCUCUGGUCCUGACUCGGGUUUUCCCACCAGACAAAUGUGUCAGAAGUGAAUCUGGGUCCUCCUGAAAAAGACUGUCAGGCAAGAACCUGAUCACAAGUGGUCGUAUAUAAGGAGAUGCAUUAGGAAACGGCGGGGGCAGUAAUAUGGAGUGCGGGUUCAGCGUAAGGUUAUAUGAGGUGUGGCCUUAGCAGGGCUGAAAGAAGACUGGUUCAAGGUAAGCAGAGCUAACAGCAGAAGGAAGGUCCCGUCCGGAUGCCAUUAUCCAAGGCCCUGAUGAUUAUGCCUGACGCCUAGCUCAGACUUCAUUUUGUUAUUUAAGGCAGAGGCUCGCUCAUUUCCUUUCUUUCCUUCCUUCCCUUUUCCGCUCCUUCCUUCUCUUCUUCUCUCUCUCUUUUGAGACGGGGUCCCAAUUUGCAAAGUCAGUUAAGCUGGCCUUGAACUCAGAUCUACCUGCCUCUGCUGCCUGAAGGCUGAUAUUAAAGGUGAGUUCUGUCAUACUUAAUCAUAACCUCACUAUUUAAACCUGGCUGGUCUGAAACUCACUUUGUAGACAAGGCAAACUUGUAGCAAUGCUCCUGCCUCUUGAUGCAGAGAUUACAACACACAGGGUUUAGAAUAGGCCCCUGGAUUGGAGCUGGUGCGAGCAGAGCGUUUGUUUCCUGUUUAUGACACAGAUUCUGAGUCCAUUAGCUUUCACCUUGAGGCUUUUCUCGCCUCCUCCCUUUGUAGAUCAUCACUUCAUCUACAUUCUGGCAGUGUCUGGCCAUGUGGGGUGCAGUCCACUUAACAACUGACUGCUCGGUUAGUUUACAGAUGUGUCUCUGCUACAAAGUUGUGACUCUGACAAAGGGCUGGAACUGACCAUCUCUGUAUCCUCAGCGUACAGGAGAAGCUGAGACUAUACCAGACGGUGCAAGUCACGGUAUCCUCAAUUGCAGGCAAUACGGAUUAAGCCAUUGCAGGCAAUACGGAUUAAGUACACGUUGGCCAAUAGAAACCUGAUAAGGGGUCUAAAAUCCAUCUUACAUGAAAAUGGAAGAACCAAAGGAAAAAAGAAAAGUAAGUAAGUAAGUAAAUAAAUAAACAAUAAAGAAAACAGAAGAACCAGAAGUCUUUUUUGAAGAGAACACUUCUGAGAAUCCACUUGCUGAUUCUGCAGACUGUUUCUGGGCAUCUCCUCUGUGGAAGGCCUGGGCUGGGGAUGAGGAAGCCACGGGUGCACAGCUACCACCCCGACAGCAGCGCUCGCAGUCUGGAUGGUGUUGACACACAAAUUAGGAACUAUGACUCAGUGUGCUCAGGGCCACAGGCAGGCAUGAAGGUGCCCAGGGAAGGCUUCUAGAUGAUGCUGCAGAAGGGCACAAUUGUGACAAUGUUGGUAACAGAGUUCAGUUUAUGAUAAACUUAUCUUUUAAUAAGAUUGAUUGCUUUUGAAAUGUAUGUGUUUGUCUGGACACAGUGGUUCCAAACUUUAAUCCCGGUAAUGGGGAGACAGAGGCAGGCCAAUUUUGUGGAUAGGUGUCUAGCCUGGUCUACGUAGCAAGUUCCAACUCAUCCAAGGCUACAUACUGUGACUCUGUCUCAAAACAACCACAGUAAUAAAAAUGUAUGCAUAUGUGUGUGAGCCUGCUUGUGUACAUGUGCGCCGUGCACACUCAGGAGCCCCUAGAGCCAGAAAAGGGGAUCAGAACCCCUGGAACUAGAGUUAUAGGUGAUAUAGAAGAAC